rnacentral:rRNA from 12 species
GCCUACAGCCAUACCAUCCUGCAAGAGCCUGAACCUGUCUGUUCUCAGAAGAUAAACAGGGCCUGACUUGGUCAGUAUUUUAAUGGGAGCCUGCCUGGGAAUACCAGGCUCUGUAGGCA